rnacentral:misc_RNA from 1 species
CUGGCAGAAUCAGACGCAAGCAGACGUUUCGCCUCUUUGUAUUUAGUUAACCUAAGUUGCAGGUUGGUUAAUAAGUUUCUAUUGUACGCGAUUGUGAGUAAAAUUGAUGGAUUUAGCUUUACAUCCUACGUACAUGUAAUUAUUAUUUUAACCAUUCCUAAAAAUUAAUAAGAGAUGACAUUUGCACUGAGGCCGUUACUCAUUAACUGUAUAACGAGACGAAAUCAUGGUCUACGAAAUAAUUUAACAAAAACAAGCCUUCAACUGCAUACAUCCAAAGGACUUCUUCAUGGGGAGUAUGAAUUCCAGGAUCCAAAAUCAGAAGAUGAAGUGGUAAAUGUAAUUUUUAUAGACAAAAAUGGAAGCAGAAUACCUAUUAAAGGUAAAGUUGGAGACAAUGUAUUAUAUUUAGCACACAGGUAUAAUAUCGAGAUGGAAGGAGCGUGUGAAGCUUCCCUUGCUUGUACUACUUGUCAUGUCUAUGUUCAUCAUGAUUAUGUGGAUAAAUUACCAGUUGCUGAAGAGAAAGAAGAAGAUCUUUUGGAUCUAGCUCCCUUUUUAAAGGAAAAUUCUCGAUUAGGAUGUCAAAUUAUAUUAACAAAAGAAUUAGAAGGUAUCGAAUUAGAGUUACCAAAAGCUACAAGGAAUUUCUACGUUGAUGGGCAUACACCCAGUGCGCACUAACAUCAUGCGAUGCAAACUUAGAUUUUUCACCCUGAGACCAGUGCUAUGUAAAUAAUAUUACGUAAGAUGCACUGAUACUAUAGGAAUAAUUCAUUCAAAUAUUAUCAACUUAUAAAGCAUUUACAACAUGCAUGGAAAACCCUGCAAAAUGGAUUCAACAACCGAAGUCGUCCCACUUUAGUAUGACCACUGACGCGAUUAAAAUUAUUGAUAAGAACGACAGGGCACCUCAGUGAACCUCCUUCAAUUGAGCAUUCUCUCACACUCUUAAUACACGUACGCAAUUUUGACCUUUCGUUUGUACAUGUAUAUUCAUUCUCCUCUCUCUCCCGAUAAUUAUCGUCGCUAUCAUUGUUACACGUUACUUUAUAAUAACCUCCAUUUUAUCAUGGAUCAAUGUAAUUAUAGACACGAUAUAAUUCUCAACACAUUUACAUCUUGCAUUCAAACUCUAUUAACGGCAGCAACUUAAUUACAAUUUUCUUCGUCUACUGAAAUAUACACAUCCACUCGGCAUUGUACCUUUUAAGAUGAUUACAUGCAUAUCCUCAUUUGGUAUGAGUCAUCGUAACUGACUUAUUGGGAAAAUAGCUUUUGUACUUAUUUCUAACUAAAAGUGUCACAAUAUUAUAGAUUAUUGUACAUACAAUGUGUACGUUGGAUAUAUCGAUGUAAUACUUCAAAUUAGUAAAAUUGUGGUAAUUACACGAACGACUAAAUUAAAUGAUAACCAUGGCAGUAAACAACGUCAUAUUAUGUACACUUUGAGAGACGCUCGAUCUUCACAAUUUUCAACGAUUUGUGACUUUGAAUCAUGUCAUAGAGCUUCCUACCAAAAGCGUUUACAAACUUCUCGCGGAAUCUUUAAUAAUUUAAAUGUAAUACUACAAUUAAUGGCGCAAUGAUGAAGCACAAUUAAAUGACACUGGAUGUUUUCAAUCGGUUCUAACUUUGAUCCAGAUUCAUCAAAUCGUAACAGUAGAAUGUUCGAAGCUCUUUGGAGGGUCGCAUACUAAACUACAAUUGAAACGAACGCUUGAAGGAGUACUGGCAUUAGAAGAAUAGAAUAUAACUUAGGAUGCCGCAUAUUGUUUCUUUCCCUACACGUUGUUAUUAUUUUUAUCUGAAACUCGACUUUCCGAAGAGGAAAUUCUUCGAUCAUGUACACGUUAAAACUCUCUCGUGCGCGCGUUUACUUGUACAAGAGCGUACAAAACAAUAUUAUGUCUAUGGCUACUCUAAGGAGAAAACAAAAAAAAAACUACAAGUGUACUCCUCUGAGACCUUAGGAACACACCGUCACCUUUUGAAUAUACAAAACCGUAAAAAAGUCAAUACCAACGAAUACAUUAUUAUCCGCUUGAAAAAGCACCUUUCUUGUACAUUUUACUCUCCCCUUGUAUAGAUCGUUAUCGAGAUUAUGUAUUCGUAAUUAAAGAAGCUCGUGCUUUAAGAGACAUUAUUGAAUAUAUUAUUUCCAUAAUUUACACGAAAUCCUUCAAUAAGUUUCCAUAAUUUACACGAAAUCCUUCAAUAAGUACAUGUUGUUUAACUGUCGAGAACAGAAUAGAUUUCACAGUUCUUAACUUCCUCUCCAUUUAUCGCGAAAGGAAGAGAAAAGAAAUGCAUUAAAUUGAGAUGCAUCCGCAACGCUAUUUUCAAUCAUUUUCACAUCUUAUCCCGAUCGAUUCCAUUCCUCUAUUAUCAUCCAUUACGAAUCUAUCCCGACAAAAUUCUCUCCAGCUUGCACCAUGUGGGAACUAAUUACUAAAGCAACGAAAUAAUGAUCACAGGAACAGCGUAAUGCUAGAUUUCCUAUUUUGACAUUAAGUAAAACGCAUGAACACUCGUUUCAUCACGAGACAAAGAGUAACAUUACUUCCGUCUUUGAUCCAGCAUAAUUGCGGAUCUAAUCAACAAAUCAAGUACAGAAAUUAAGCGACAAAGGACUAUCUUAACUGACAAAUAAUUAUAACGAUAUUACAUCGAUUGUUGGGUAUUACUGAUUACCGCAAAUUUAGAUACAUUAAGAUAAUGUACAAUAAAACGAUGCUAAUAAGAUUCUAUUGCAAGAGAACACGAUAAGGAUAAACGUUUUGUUUGUUUGUUUUUUUUUCUUUCAUCAUCAUUAGACAUCUAUAAGAAAGAAAGUUACACAGAAGAUGCACAUGUAACAACGAAGAAAGAAUGUAAAAUCCCAUUGAUAUAAUCGCUUUAACACAUAUGAGCAUAAGCUAUUAUAACACAAACCAAGAGAUUUCAUUGAAAU